rnacentral:rRNA from 1 species
UACGAAGGGGGCUAGCGUUGCUCGGAAUUACUGGGCGUAAAGCGCACGUAGGCGGCUUUCUAAGUCGGGGGUGAAAUCCUGGAGCUCAACUCCAGAACUGCCUCGAUACUGGAGAGCUUGAGUCCGGGAGAGGUGAGUGGAACUGCGAGUGUAGAGGUGAAAUUCGUAGAUAUUCGCAAGAACACCAGUGGCGAAGGCGGCUCACUGGCCCGGUACUGACGCUGAGGCACGGAAAAGCGUGGGG